UUUAUUUCAUAAACAAAGUUAUACAACACCCAAUGCCCCUGGUUGAAAAAGUAAUUUCCCCCUUACACUCAAUAACUACAUCUUGACAGACAAGGUGGAACUUAGUGACUCACCUCCUCCAACAAAUACUGUAUCUUUCUGCUGCUAAACUUACUGAACUUCAGUCUUUAAUUCCUAUACGACUGCAAUAGUGCAUAUGAAUGUUGCUUUAUCCUGAACACGAUUGUUUAAGAUUAUUUUACCUAUACUUCAUAGCAAAUGCUACUGUAUGUAUAUGAGUUAUGUGCCUCUAUAUUAUAGUUCUCAGUUUUCUGCUUUGCAUUUGUUUCCCUUUGACUUUGUUGUUUUGAAUGUACAGUAGUCGUGGUCAUUUUGAUACCUGGAGGUAUAUUUUGUACAGUAAAUGAUUAGAAAAAUAAAAUAUAAUCCAUA